UGGGGAAUAUUGCACAAUGGGCGAAAGCCUGAUGCAGCGACGCCGCGUGAGGGAUGACGGCCUUCGGGGUUGUAAAACCUCUUUCAGCAGGGAAGAAGCGAAAGUGACGGUACCUGCAGAAGAAGCGCCGGCUAACUACGUGCCAGCAGCCGCGGUAAUACGUAGGGCGCAAGCGUUGUCCGGAAUUAUUGGGCGUAAAGAGCUCGUAGGCGGUUAGUCGCGUCUGCUGUGAAAACUCGAGGCUCAACCUCGGGCUUGCAGUGGGUACGGGCUGACUAGAGUGCGGUAGGGGUGACUGGAAUUCCUGGUGUAGCGGUGGAAUGCGCAGAUAUCAGGAGGAACACCGAUGGCGAAGGCAGGUCACUGGGCCGCAACUGACGCUGAGGAGCGAAAGCAUGGGGAGCGAACAGGAUUGAGAUACCCUGGUAGUCCAUGCCGUAAAACGUUGGGCACUAGGUGUGGGGGUCCAUUCCACGGAUUCCGUGCCGCAGCAAACGCAUUAAGUGCCCCGCCUGGGGAGUACGGCCGCAAGGCUAAAACUCAAAUGAAUUGACGGGGUCAUAGCUGUUU
rnacentral:rRNA from 1 species